CCUACGUGUGACUGCAGUCGAGAAUCAUUCACAAUGGGGGAAACCCUGAUGGUGCGACGCCGCGUGGGGGAAUGAAGGUCUUCGGAUUGUAAACCCCUGUCAUGUGGGAGCAAAUUAAAAAGAUAGUACCACAAGAGGAAGAGACGGCUAACUCUGUGCCAGCCGCCGCGGUAAUACAGAGGUCUCAAGCGUUGUUCUGAAUCACGGGGCGUAAAGCGUGCGUAGGAUGUUUCGUAAGUCGUGUGUGAAAGGCGCGGGCUCAACCCGCUGACGGCACAUAAUACUGCGAGACUAGAGAACUGGAGGGGGAACCGGAAUUCUCGGUGUAGCAGUGAAAUGCGUAGAUAUCGAGAGGAACACUCGUGGCGAAGGCGGGUUCCUGGACAUUAACUGACGCUGAGGCACGAAGGCCAGGGGAGCGAAAGGGAUUAGAUACCCCAGUAGUC
rnacentral:rRNA from 1 species